rnacentral:rRNA from 1 species
UACGCAGGCGGAAAAUUAAGUCAGAGGUGAAAUCCCACAGCUCAACUGUGGAACUGCCUUUGAUACUGGUUGUCUUGAGUUAUAGUGAAGUAGAUAGAAUAUGUAGUGUAGCGGUGAAAUGCAUAGAUAUUACAUAGAAUACCGAUUGCGAAGGCAGUCUACUAACUGUAUACUGACGCUAAUGGACGAAAGCGUGGGGAGCGAACAGGAUUAGAUACCCUGGUAGUCC